rnacentral:lncRNA from 1 species
UUUUUUUCUUAGUUUCAUAACUUAUUUAUUGAUUUUUCUUUAAUUAUUUUUUAAUAUUAAAGCAAUCAAAACUUAUUUCUAAAUAUUUGAUAUUGAAAUUUUAUAUUGACUAAUUGANAAUGUUAUUUUGAUAUAAUUUUUGUUUUUUUUAAAAAAACUAAUAUACUUAAUUAACAUUUGAAAUAGUAAAAACACAAGUACUGGUGUAUGUAUGGAUAUAUCUGUUUCCCAAUAGGGACGUAGAUAGAAUAAAAAUUAAAUAACUAUUGAAUGUGGGAUAUGGAUGGAGACGAGUUUAUAUAUCGAGCAAGAGAUAGUCAAAUAUCUAGUCACCGUAUUGUCAUCCCUACUAGUGAGAAUACCUAAACUAUUAUAACUAAGGAUCCUGAUAUUUUAACAAUACUUUUUAACAACUUUUUGACAACAGGACACAUAUCACUAUUUUAUUNGUCUGUUUGAAUUUACUUUUAAUAAAAUAUUUGAAACGAAACAAUCACAAGCUACCACGUAUGCAUUGUUAAAAAGUUGUCAAAAAGGAGUUGUUAAAACAAAUUUUUCCUAUAACUAAUACUUUGUUGUUAAAUUUUAAAACAAUAAUGACUUUUUUUUUCUAAUGAUAAACACCUUUCAAUCAUAUCUAGAAUAUUUUUCCCCUCCCCAAUUCAUUUUCGAAAAUCCUACCUCCCCAAUCUCUCCUACUUCACUUCUUUUUAAUCUUUCCCUCCCUUUGGGUCACAACCCCUUCCUUUGCCACAACCACCAUUGCAAUUUGGUUUACCCCAACCUCCAUUGUUUUUGAAGUCUACCAUUCCCCCAAUAUCCAUAGAUUUCUCGUCCCAAUCGUGAAUNNN